rnacentral:rRNA from 1 species
GACGAGGGAUCCUAGCGUUGUUCGGAAUCAUUGGGCGUAAAGCGGGUGUAGGUGGCUUUGUAAGUCAGGUGUGAAAGCCCAGGGCUCAACCCUGGAAGUGCAUUUGAUACUGCGAAGCUUGAGUGCUGGAGAGGUAAGUAGAAUUCCUGGUGUAGUGGUGAAAUUCGUAGAUAUUGGGUGGAACACCGGUGGCGAAAGCGGCCCCUGGCCCGGUCCGUGACGCUGAGGCGCGAAGCGUGGGGAGCAAACAGG